rnacentral:tRNA from 1 species
ACGAAAAUGGCAGAUAAGUGCAUUAGAUUUAAGCUCUAAAUAUAAAGAUUUUAAUUCUUUUUUUUGUA